rnacentral:rRNA from 1 species
UACGGAGGGUGCAAACGUUGCUCGGAAUUAUUGGGCGUAAAGCGCACGUAGGCGGCUCGACAAGUCGGGUGUGAAAUCCCUCGGCUCAACCGAGGAAGUGCAUUCGAAACUGGCGAGCUAGAGUACUGAAGAGGGUCGCGGAAUUCCCGGUGUAGAGGUGAAAUUCGUAGAUAUCGGGAGGAACACCAGUGGCGAAGGCGGCGACCUGGGCAGAUACUGACGCUGAGGUGCGAAAGCGUGGGGAGCAAACAGG